CGGGCGUUCGCGCUCUCUCCUGGGUGAAUCCGACACCAGCGAUGCGGCCCGAUACUCUCGCGAGAGGGAAGGAGACCACAGCUCCAUCGAUUCUCCCAACCGCGCCACGUGUGCUCCCACCUGCAGAGAAGCGGAGUCUGGCAGCUCCCAGGGGCUUCUGGGAUUGGUAGUUCCGGGGCUGGCUGAGGCCUGCCAGCCUUGCCCCGCUCUUUCUGACGCAUGCGCGACUCCGAGCUGGCCCAAGAAGUUCGUAGCCUUUGUCAGGCCUGGGAUGGGAGGUUCCGGCCUCGUAGGACCGAGCCAGGCUCGAGAGUGAGGAAGAAACCCGACCCGCCCUGAUCGGAGCCUUCCAGCAGAGCCCCCGGAGGAAAGGCAGGAAGGAGGACGCCGAGGCCGAGGGGGCUUCUCACUGUGCUGCCGGGAGAAGUCUGAACUGGGGCGGAGAUCGGAAUAUUCAGAACGGGGAGCAGGUGGUGAUCAUGGAGACCGACUUGGCCGACAUGCCGGAGAAGAGCGGUAAGAGUUGCUCAAGUGUUGCUGAACUUGUGUUGUGGAAGGGCGAAAUUCUUUCCUCCUGAAGGGAAAUCAGUUGCGUCGCAGGAGGUGGCUCUUGGCGGAGAGUGCUGUCCGGCUCCUUUGUCUGGGGGACCGAUGGGCUCUUGGAGAGUGCACGAAGGGCUUGGUAUGGGAUCCACCCCUCUCGCUUCUCCAACUGGGCGCACAAUGGACCCUUCAAAGCCACCCUCAAAAUCCGAGCGGAAGGUUAGCUUCUAAGGCGUGAGCAUAGCCUCGAUUACUUUUUCUCCCACGUUCUUCCUCCCAGAUGAUUCUGCCAUCCUAGCUUCAAUCAUGGGUCUGGGAAUUUAGCUUUUUGGUUGGCAAAAAUAUUUUCCACACGUUUUAUGCCACUUAGCAAGAUUACCAUGUGAUUUCAAUAAGCAAAUCAUUUUUUUAAAGAUUUUUAAAAUUUAUUUUAGAGAGAGAGCAUGAGCGGAGAGAGAGGCAGAGGAAGAGGGAGAAGCACGCUUCCCGCUGAGCAGGGAGCCCCAGGCCAGGCGGGGCUCCGUCCCGGGACCCUCAGGUCAUGACCCGAGCUGAAGGCAGACGGAUUAACCGACUGAGCCAGCCAGGCGCCCCCAAAAGCAAAUCAUCUUUUGUUAUAUAGGUGAAAACGGGCCUAGAAGUCAGUGACUGACUUUCAGUUUACUAGAGCAGUCUUGGUUGAAGUUUGGCCUAUGACCUCCUACA
rnacentral:lncRNA from 1 species